UACGUAGGGUGCGAGCGUUGUCCGGAAUUAUUGGGCGUAAAGGGCUCGUAGGCGGUUUGUCGCGUCGGGAGUGAAAACGCCGUGCUUAACACGGCGCUUGCUUUCGAUACGGGCAGACUAGAGGUAUUCAGGGGAGAACGGAAUUCCUGGUGUAGCGGUGAAAUGCGCAGAUAUCAGGAGGAACACCAGCGGCGAAGGCGGCGCUCUGGGCCGGUACUGACGCUGAGGAGCGAAAGCGUGGGGAGCAAACAGG
rnacentral:rRNA from 1 species